rnacentral:tRNA from 1 species
GCGGGCGUAGCUCAGUUGGUUAGAGCGUCAGGUUGUGGUCCUGAAUGUCGCGGGUUCGAAUCCCGUCGCUCGCCCCA